AGGGGGUAGGGGAAUGAACUCGAGAUACAAUUUGCGGUAUAUGCACGGUGAGAGGACAGUUAGUGGUCCUAUUGCAAGCUCUUAUUCGAAUCCUGAGGUCGCAGAUGCGACGGGUGGAAGCACAGAAUAGGGUGGCGACAUGCACUGUUACGUGAUGCAUUCGGCAUGCACGAUGUUAAGGAAGACACUAAUUGUGAACCCCAGGCAGUCAAUGAAGAAGCCGCGGAAGAAUUUGCACGGUUUGGAGCUCCCUAAAUGUUCAGUGUUGGAUUUCAUUUGGGUGAAUUUUGGGUAUUAUUUUUACAGUGGCACAUUGUGAAGAGUUGAUUAGGAAGCUUGGUUAAGCUUGAUAUCCGCGGGAGCAGGUUUAGCGAAUGUAGAGGAUGACCCCGUAGCUCUUGAUUUGGGGUAUUGCAAUUGUGACACAUCUCUGGAGUCGUAGCUGUGUGGACUUGGACGUCCACCUUUUGAUAAUUUUGUUUAUGGCUCGUGUCGCUUGUGACACUUGUAUAUAUGAGCCAGUCUUUUGAUAUAUAUUUAAUAACUAUGUAGAAACCUUAAACAGAUAGACAUAUUAAUGGUUCAUUUAUUGUGAUUAAGUGUUGU